rnacentral:lncRNA from 1 species
UGUCAUCCAUGUGUAUCAGAGAAACAGGUUCAUUCCAAGUUCAAUUCAACCACAGUAAUUCCAUGCAUCUUGCCAACUGCUGGUUUGGGAUGGGUGCGUGUCAUAAUUGUGGAGAUGGGGUGUGAGAAGGGGUGGCUGGCAGGCUUCUAGACAGGCAUUGUUCUUCUCUUUUACAAAGCGGAGACAUGUAGGAACAUCCUCACACCUCGUUCCUGCCUCUGGAUGACAUCAUCUGCAGGAUGUCAGAUGGUGUCCGCGGUUCUAAGCUUCAAACCCUCAGAGCCCUACAUCUGGAGGUGUGGAGGAUCACUACUGCCCUGUCAACUUCCAUUUUCUAAAAUCAGAGCCACUGUGGAAGGAAGUACUCAUGUUAACAGCUUCGAGAUGCUCUGCAUGUGAGGACCGGCGGGGAAGCAGGACCUCGGAAACAGGAUUUUAAAUGGAGCAGCAAGCCCCGGCCGCUCAGGGCCCAAACUGCACUGCGCUGCUAGGUUCCUUUAGAAAAAAAGGCAACGCAGGAGGUUGUGGUGUUGGUGCUUGUUUUCAGGGAAUAUUCUAGUUUCAGUAUAAUUCUAUUUACCUCCGGUCUUACUCAGUUACCUUUGACGUGCAGGAGAAUGGCCUUUAAUCAUAUGAUCAGCAAACACUGUUUCCUCUGGGGGAAAUGGGGAGAAAUCCACAGUUGAGAGAUUUUUUUAUCCUAACAGUAAAGGAG